GAAGGGACCUAGCGUAGUUCGGAAUUACUGGGCUUAAAGAGCACGUAGGUGGUUAAGAAAGUUGGUGGUGAAAUCCCAAGGCUUAACCUUGGAACUGCCACCAAAACUUUUUAACUAGAGUAUGAUUGAGGUAAGCGGAAUUUCUAGUGUAGAGGUGAAAUUCGUAGAUAUUAGAAAGAACACCAAUUGCGAAGGCAGCUUUCUGGAUCAUUACUGACACUGAGGUGCGAAAGCAUGGGUAGCGAAGAGGAUUAGAUACCCUCGUAGUCCAUGCCGUAAACGAUGUGUGCUAGACGUUGGGAAUUUAUUUUUCAGUGUCGCAGCAAAAGCGUUAAGCACACCGCCUGGGGAGUACGACCGCAAGGUUAAAACUCAAAUGAAUUGACGGGGACCCGCACAAGUAGUGGAGCAUGUGGUUUAAUUCGAAGAUACGCGCAGAACCUUACCAACACUUGACAUGUUCGUCGCGACUCUAAGAGAUUAGAGUUUUCGGUUCGGCCGGACGAAACACAGGUGCUGCAUGGCUGUCGUCAGCUCGUGUCGUGAGAUGUUGGGUUAAGUCCCGCAACGAGCGCAACCCUUACUUUUAGUUGCUACCAUUUAGUUGGGCACUCUAGAAGAACUGCCGGUGAUAAGCUGGAGGAAGUGGGGGAUGACGUCAAGUCCUCAUGGCCCUUAUGUGUUGGGCUACACACGUGCUACAAUGGUAUUUAC
rnacentral:rRNA from 1 species